UUAGUAAGAGGAAGGGAAAAAAGAGAAAAGAUCAAUCUGAUAUGGAACCUAUGAAGAUCAUUCAACGGUGGGCGCCAAGAUCCCUCUGGGAUCUCUUGUUGUUUUUACAGUUUGCUCCGCUACAUUUAUAAUGACUGACACUUCAAAAGCUCUUAUAGAAGAAAGAGAGUGUUAAUAUUCACCUCAUGUUUUGUAGACCUUGUUGAGAUUAUUACAUAUACAUGUAUUACUAGUUUAAAUUCUGAUGUUGACUACAUUAAUUGGCACUUUGACUCAGUAGCAGUUUUUUGUUUAAAUCUUCUUUCUGUGCUUAAUUGAUAAAAGAAAACAUUUAAUUUUAGAACACUCCUCAAAUGGCCAAGGACAAGAAUUAUACCAUGGGACUGUGUAUGCUGUCUGUCUUGUAAUGUAAAUUUUCCUUUACAAAGCUACUAGUCUAGAACAGCAGAAGUGACUUUGGUCCAAAGCAUUGUUAUCUUACAUUAACUCAGUUUUGAGAAAAUGGAGGGCAAGUUUCCUUUCAGCCUUGUAUCAUAGAGAUGAAACUUAGUUUUAAUGAAUGUAAAAGUAGAAUAGGUAAACUUUGUAACCCUUCCAGUGUGUACUGGUUAGGUAAACUGGACUCAAUGAUAGGUACAUGGAGGGUAGCCCUCUGGGGUUAAUAGGACAAGGGAGAUCUUACAGUCUGGAUCAGGGAUCUGGAGAAACACAUUAUAAUGUUUCAGAUCCAAUCUUAAGUGGAAGAUUUGUGAGAAGAGCAAAUUGUGUGGCUUCUACUUAAAAAUAUGAGUGUCACUCAGCUGAUUGAACAUGGUUACACGGCUCAGUUGGAAGAGGUCUGGAUUAUCACACCAGAGGCCUGUGUUGAUGUUUGAUAUGAAUAUCUUUUUAUUUAUGCACUUGUCAAAUUUGUUGAGAUUAUGGUGGUAUGGUGCCCACCCACCCGACUAUCUGUCUCUCAGGAGAAAACUAUUGUUUGUCUGGAGAUCUCCAAAAUGUUUUGAACAAUCUCUUUAAAACUUAGUAUGCAUCAUAAUCGUGAUAUGUACUUGAAAGGUAUGCAUCAUAAUCGUGAUAUGUACUUGAAAGGAAUUUUGAUUGCAAAAGUUAUUGCCCUUUGUUUAUUUCUAGUGCUUGAAUCUUGUCCUCAGAUCUCCUACAUUUCUACCGAGUUCUUCGAAACUAAGUAGGCUUUAAAAUCAAUUUAGCUUGAAGGAUUCCUGAACAAGGCGAUCAGUGUUUUUGUAACAGAGGUCAUUAUAAAUCAUAUUUGUUUCAAUGCCUCUGUUAGGGAUCAAACCAGGGACCUCUGGCUUAUUAGUGAUCAGUUCAACAAAUUUUGCUAAAGAGAAUAGUGCUCUAGUCGAGUGUAUAUUAUUGAGCUAGUAUUUAUCAGGGUUAUAUACCCAGGUAGGAAAGAACUCAUCUGUGAGUUUCCAGGGAUUACAGCAAUGCCAGUGAGGUUUCACUUAGUCCCGAGUCGUGAUAACAAAUGGCAAGGCUAUUGAUAAGUUAUAUAUGUUUCAAUGCCUCAGCUAGGGAUUGACCCUGGACAUCUGGCGUAACUGUACUAGUCAUUUGUAAACCAGUUAUACUAAAGAGAAGUUCUGAGCAAUACAUUGAGUCUAUAAACGGGCUACAUUUAAUGAUACAUACUGUAGAAUACACUGUAUUGUGGGACUGUACAGAGCUGUGUAGUAAGGAUACAACGUAUUGUGGGACUGUACAGAGCUGUGUAGUAAGGAUGUAAAGACUGUCUUACAUAUUUACAUAGCUGUGAUAACGUAGCUCUGGACGAUGGACGGAUAAUUUCUGAUAGAUGGUCAUGCCGGAGAGCAGUGUAGGCAGGGUAUGAAUAUCCAUUCUAAUAUUUUACUACUCUGCAUGUCCAAGGUGGGCGAUGUAAUACCUAAUGUUAGUGAGGUACUUAUUGUAAUCAAUUAUAAUCAUGUACUAAAAGUUGUACCCAUAUCCCAUUAUGGAAACAAAAUGGAUUUAUCGUAUGCGCUGAGAUGAGUCCUAUAUAUAGUCUCUAGCUAACAAGUCUUUAAAGUAUAGAUUUUAUUGAGUGUAAUUAUAAUAGGAUUUCACUUAAAUAUGGUCUGCAUAAUUUUCUGUGGUUGAGUAACCCUGUAACUAUAGGUUAAGGUAUAAACUAUAAUACAAUCAUUUGUGAUACUGGUAUAUAGUGAUUGUGUGGUAUUCAGACGUGUAUACAUUUAAAAUUUUGUACUUGUUAGACUCUCUGGAGUGGAACUUUUAUUUCUUGUUGAUUUAUCUAAUGGUUGGUGUGAUCCGUCUUACACAGAAAUGUCCGGUGUUUUUUAUCACCGAGUCGGUGUUAGUAUAGGUUGUCUGUUGUAUGAAAUAAUGGCUCAGUUACAAAUUGUCUGUUGUAUGAAAUAAUAGCUCAGUUACAGGGAAACUACAUCUCUGAUUGAUAAAAGUAUUUUAUGUUACAAAUUGUGAUGUAAUCAAUGCUUUACUUAAUUUUGAAUGUUUACUAAUUUUCAUGCCAAAAAUAUAAAGAUAUUUAAUAUUUCUGUAGACUUUAGGCCAGUGAUUUAAACUUACCAUUACAUAUUUAGCAAUGUCACUAAAUAUCUCUGCUGAAUUUAAUUUUGAUUUAUGAGUGCCAAUUUGGCUUACUAUUGUUUAGAUGUAGGAUGUUCCGGGAAUGCUUUACAAAUGUACUUGUUCAGUGACAUAUUUGAGAAUUUUGUGAUAAAAAUUCAAUAGAAAUAAAUUGGAAAAUGAUAGAUUUAGGUAUUGUACUGCCUUCAGUUGUCAUUCAUUACCACAAUGAUUGCUAACUGGACAAAGGUAAAUUCACUAACUUGCUGAGUCAAACCUGAAAAGUGUUUUUGAUUGCUCUAGAAUAGCUUGUUAAAAAUCAAAACCAAAAUAGUGUUUAUAGACUCUUUAUUUAAUUUAGUUUGCUAAUUGGCUGUGAAUGAAAAUAGAAGAAUGCAGUUUAGUGUUUAGAUAUGACUAUCAAAUUGCGGUUAGCAAGUACAUACAGUUGUAUAUGGAAUUACUUAACAAAAAUU